rnacentral:rRNA from 1 species
UACGAAGGGGGCUAGCGUUGCUCGGAAUUACUGGGCGUAAAGCGUGCGCAGGCGGCUUUGCAAGACAGAUGUGAAAUCCCCGGGCUUAACCUGGGAACUGCAUUGGUGACUGCAUUGCUGGAGUAUGGCAGAGGGGGGUGGAAUUCCACGUGUAGCAGUGAAAUGCGUAGAGAUGUGGAGGAACACCGAUGGCGAAGGCAGCCCCCUGGGCCAAUACUGACGCUCAUGCACGAAAGCGUGGGGAGCAAACAGG